AUAUAUUUUGUAAAAAAAAAAAUCUGUUCUUAUCAGUUUAAUAUCUGAUACGUCCCCCAUCGGGGGACUACAUAUUAAAGGAUUUUUCGAACAGGGAGUCGGAAUGGGGCUUGCUCCGUCCGCUCCACGCAUCGACCCGUAUUGCAGUACUCCGGGAACGGUGCAACACUU
rnacentral:snRNA from 1 species